rfam:Mesocricetus auratus contig152298, whole genome shotgun sequence.
UUUGCAUUAAUGAGGAUUACACAGAAAACCUUUGUUAAGGAUUUGUGUAGAUCUGAUAAUUGGCAGA